CACGUAGGGAGCAAGCGUUGUCCGGAUUUAUUGGGCGUAAAGAGCGUGUAGGCGGCUUGGUAGGUCCGCUGUGAAAACUCGAGGCUCAACCUCGAGAUGUCGGCGGAAACCACUUGGCUAGAGUCCGGAAGAGGAGAGUGGAAUUCCCGGUGUAGCGGUGAAAUGCGCAGAUAUCGGGAAGAACACCUAUGGCGAAGGCAGCUCUCUGGGACGGUACUGACGCUGAGACGCGAAAGCGUGGGGAGCGAACAGG
rnacentral:rRNA from 1 species